rnacentral:rRNA from 1 species
UACGUAGGGUGCAAGCGUUGUCCGGAAUUAUUGGGCGUAAAGAGCUCGUAGGCGGUUUGUCGCGUCUGCUGUGAAAACCGGAGGCUCAACCUCCGGCCUGCAGUGGGGUACGGGCAGACUAGAGUGGCGGUAGGGGAGAUUGGAAUUCCUGGUGUAGCGGUGGAAUGCGCAGAUAUCAGGAGGAACACCGAUUGCGAAGGCAGCUCGGCUGGGACGUAACUGACGCUGAGACGCGAAAGCGUGGGGAGCAAACAGG